CAGCAGCCGCGGUAACACGUAGGUCCCGAGCGUUGUCCGGAUUUAUUGGGCGUAAAGGGAGUGUAGGCGGCCUUUUAAGUCUGAUGUGAAAGCCCACGGCUCAACCGUGGAGGGUCAUUGGAAACUGGGAGACUUGAGUGCAGAAGAGGAGAGCGGAAUUCCAUGUGUAGCGGUGAAAUGCGUAGAUAUAUGGAGGAACACCAGUGGCGAAGGCGGCUCUCUGGUCUGUAACUGACGCUGAGGCACGAAAGCGUGGGGAGCAAACAGGAUUAGAUACCCCCGUAGUCCCUGUCUCUUAUAC
rnacentral:rRNA from 1 species